rnacentral:rRNA from 1 species
AUCUACAACCAUACCACCCUGACCGUGCCUGAUCUUGUCUGAUCUCAGAAGCUAGGUGGGUCGGCCUGGUUAGUACUUGGAUAGGAGACUGCAUGGGAAUACUGGGUGCUGUGGAAU